UUUGUCCUACGGGGGGCAGCAGUGAGGAAUAUUGGUCAAUGGGAGAGAUCCUGAACCAGCCAAGCCGCGUGAGGGAAGACGGCCCUAUGGGUUGUAGACCUCUUUUGUCGGAGAACAAAACCCGGGACGUGUCCCGGACUGCGUGUAUCCGAAGAAAAAGCAUCGGCUAACUCCGUGCCAGCAGCCGCGGUAAUACGGAGGAUGCGAGCGUUAUCCGGAUUUAUUGGGUUUAAAGGGUGCGUAGGCGGGCUUUUAAGUCAGCGGUAAAAAUUCGGGGCUCAACCCCGUCCGGCCG
rnacentral:rRNA from 1 species